UACGGGGGGGGCAAGCGUUGUUCGGAAUUACUGGGCGUAAAGGGCGCGUAGGCGGCCUGCUAAGUCGGACGUGAAAUCCCUCGGCUCAACCGGGAAACUGCGUCCGAUACUGGUGGGCUUGAAUUCGGGAGAGGGAUGCAGAAUUCCAGGUGUAGCGGUGAAAUGCGUAGAUAUCUGGAGGAAUACCGGUGGCGAAGGCGGCAUCCUGGACCGACAUUGACGCUGAACGGCGAAAGCUAGGGGAGCAAACGGG
rnacentral:rRNA from 1 species